UACGUAGGGUGCAAGCGUUGUCCGGAAUUAUUGGGCGUAAAGAGCUCGUAGGCGGUCUGUCGCGUCGGAUGUGAAAACCCAGGGCUCAACCCUGGGCCUGCAUUCGAUACGGGCAGACUAGAGUUCGGUAGGGGAGACUGGAAUUCCUGGUGUAGCGGUGAAAUGCGUAGAUAUCUGGAGGAACACCGGUGGCGAAGGCGGCAUCCUGGACCGGUAUUGACGCUGAGGCGCGAAAGCCAGGGGAGCAAACGGG
rnacentral:rRNA from 1 species